rnacentral:lncRNA from 1 species
UUUCAUAAUACUGUCGGCUUUGAGCCUCUCACUGCUCCUUCAGUGGAGUCUUAGAUUCACGUUUACUCUUGCCUUUCUGCUGCCCAAGGAAAGAGGCUCACAAGGUGUACCAGUGUACCUGCUCCAGAAGAUGCCUCUGCAAUAACUCUUUCCAGCAGCCUACCUUGAUGGUGACUUCUCCAUCCCUGUCUUACAGGCCAAACUUCCAGAUCUGCAACCAUUUCCUUCUCCAGAUGGUGAUACUGUGACUCAGCAUGAGGAACUUGUCUGGAUGCCUGGAGUCAGUGACUGUGACCUCCUCAUGUACUUGAGGGCAGCAAGGUAAUGGGAAAUUAGCCCCAAUGUUUCUGAAUUAGGACACCCCGACUGAUGGGCGUCUGUAAAAUCUUUCCCUCCAUAUAGGUAGUGGGCCUUUUCUCUCUGAGCAGUGCUCUCUGCACUAGUGAGCCUUCCUACCUCACACAAAUAGCUUUCCUCUUUUUGCAUUUGCUACACAUAAGACUUAGCAAUCCUCAGGAGGAGCCUCUUGAGCCAUACAUUUGAGACUAUUAGCACCCUCACUGCAGUUCAGAGCUGUUUACCUCACUUGACAGUUCCUUUGCUGAGUUUCUGUUCUCCUCAUUAGUGUUUGACCCCAGCUUGACAUUUGUGUGACUUCCCUACACAAGAACAUUUAUCUGUGAGUAUCCAAUAGAACUUGCAUACAUGCAAAUGACAGAGAGGAAGAAGAGAAACGUGAGUCCCUUUAUGCCGUAGCAGGCAGCACUUACCUUUGUGGUGAUGUGGGGGUACUCCCUGCAGCCUCACCAGUGUGCAGUAGCAAAAACUGAAGUGCAUAGCUUGGGGCUGCUGAUCCAUCUUGGCUGUGUGCAGUUCACAGUGCUGCACAGUGGUGCAGAGAGGAGGCAGUGUAAAUGAAGUAGGUGGCUGCCUGUUCUUGUCUCUUCACUGUUAGUUCAUUGAAAGGCAGUUGGUAUGUAGAUGAGAAUUAAUUUCACCUAUUUUCUAGGGACUUCAAAGUUUUAAAUUAAUACCGAGUAAUAGUACAUAUGGGUACUUUAAAAAUAUCACAAUCAGUAGAGUACUGUGAGAAACAGGUUUUUCAUGUGCUUAGGUUUGAAACAUAAGUAUGCACAAGAGAAAGAACAUGGACCCGACGCGAGUUACACUUUUGUCCCAGGCUGAAGACUGGCCUAAUGUACAUGCAUUAAUAGAAUCUUCCAGAAAAUGUACAUGCAAAGUAAGGAUUAAAAAUCAUCGUGUAGUCGGAUAUUGAUCAAGGAAACUCCAUUCUUUUCCCCAAAGGAGCAUGGCAGCAUUUGCAGGGAUGUGUGAUGGAGGCUCCACAGAGGAUGGCUGUGUUGCAGCAUCUCGGGAUGACACCACUCUCAAUGCACUGAACACAGUAAGUCUCCGGAUGUCAUUUUAGAGAGCACAAGAGAAACAUGCAGCAAGGUGUGGCAAAGCUAUAGGGUACUGUGGUGUUGCUAGGAAACAGAAAUGAUGCUGGUUCUGCAGUUCAGAGUGCUUGUUGUACUCACACAUGAGCUGACUUUGAAAAUCCCUCCUGCACCUUCCUCCCCCAUGACAUACCCUCAUAUACAUAACUUACAUAAAUAGACUUAAUUCAAGAUGAACAGAAGCAUUGUGGAGGCUGGUGAGGUGGCUCAGCACUUAGGAGCACUUGCAGAGAAGCUGUGCUUAGUUCCCAGCACUGGCGUGGCUUCUUACAGCUGCCCAUAACCUUAGUUCCAGGAGGAGCCAAAGCCCCUCCUCUGAUUUGACAUGACAUCUGUGUGCUCCUGCAUACACAUGGUAUACAUUCAUACACUUGGGUUGCAUGUACACACACACACACACACACACACACACACACACACUUACCC